rnacentral:rRNA from 1 species
GACGAACGCUGGCGGCGUGCUUAACACAUGCAAGUCGUACGGUAAGGCCCUUUCGGGGGUACACGAGUGGCGAACGGGUGCGUAACACGUGAGUAACCUGCCCACAACUUUGGGAUAACGCUAGGAAACUGGUGCUAAUACUGGAUAUGUGCUCCUGCUGCAUGGUGGGGGUUGGAAAGCUCCGGCGGUUGUGGAUGGACUCGCGGCCUAUCAGCUUGUUGGUGGGGUAGUGGCCUACCAAGGCGGCGACGGGUAGCCGGCCUGAGAGGGUGACCGGCCACAUUGGGACUGAGAUACGGCCCAGACGCCUACGGGAGGCAGCAGUGGGGAAUAUUGCACAAUGGGCGCAAGCCUGAUGCAGCAACGCCGCGUGCGGGAUGACGGCCUUCGGGUUGUAAACCGCUUUCAGCAGGGAAGAAGCUUUUUGUGACGGUACCUGCAGAAGAAGCACCGGCUAACUACGUG